UUAGCUUACAUAUUUUAUUGCUCAUGUUUCAAUUUGUCUCACAUUCUUGGCCUUCACUCUUUUAAGUGCGAGCUUAAUAAUUUGAGGAAAACACAAUGUCUCUUUCUUUUUGCAUUAUCUGUUGGUAAGUUUAUCCAUCUUUGUUUAAUUGUUCUAUUUGAAUGUGGUGCGACCUCUCUGGUUCGAUGAGUUAUUUGUGCAAUUUUUCUUUGUUUAUUCCAUAAUUUGGUGAUUAUAUGUUAGUGUUCUAUAGUAUUGUUUUGAGUUGCUUGAAUUUUUACAUGCAUGUCAGUAAUUGCACCUAAUCUGCUCAUGUAUUAUGAAAUUUGUCUUUGUUACCAACUAACUAGUCCACAAUUAAGUUGCUUUUACUAAAAAUUUAAGGUAUCAAAAGUGUUGCUGCAAGAUUGGCUCUCAGACAAUUAAUUGUUUCUUGUCCUUUUGGCUUCAUGUUUGCUCUGUUACUGAAAGUAACUUUCAUUCCUCUCCUCUUUGUAUCCUUUUUUUCUUUCACAGUUUUCUCUGCUUGGGUUAUGAGCUUUCCUUCUUCUCUCGAAUAAUUUCUGCUGAGUUCUUUUUUCAAACUUCCGAUGUUUCUGUUUAGUUUCUUUAGUUACUUUAACUAUUACAGUUUUCUAUUUUAUAUUGUAUAUGCAAAGUUGAUUAUUUAAAACUAAGAAAUAGGGAGAUGAAAUCAUGUUGUUCUCUAUUCCAUUCUACUCGCUACCAAGUCAUACAACAAAGUAUUCGUGGUGAUCUUCAUUGGGAUUCAACUGAGGCAGUCUGUCAUAAGAUCCAUUCUGGUGCAUCAUUAAAGGAAGGGGUGAGCCAUCAAGAAGAGCUUUAAUUGCAUGUGAUAUAGUGUGUAUGCCUUUCUCAGCAAGUGGGUUAAAUGUACUGGACAUUCAUAUAUUGAACAAAUUUGCACCGUGUAAACUACUAUGGGUUGUUAGUGCAAAGAAGGAUAUCCUUCGGAUACAAUGGAUACAUAACUAUUACAUCAAAGGGCAAGAUAGCAUGAGGAUAGAUACUCCUAAACAAGCAUGCUGGCUUGUUAGGAAGAUUUUUGAUAUCAGAUAUUGGUUUCUGGAAAAGUAUACAAGUGCUCAGUUACACAGGUGUUGA